rnacentral:rRNA from 1 species
GUAGGGAAUCUUCCACAAUGGACGAAAGUCUGACGGAGCAACGCCGCGUGAGUGAAGAAGGUUUUCGGAUCGUAAAGCUCUUUCGUUAGGGACGAACGUGCUCUUUGUGAAUAAUGAGGAGUAAUGACGGUACCUAAAUAAGAAGCCACGGCUAACUACGUGCCAGCAGCCGCGGUAAUACGUAGGUGGCAAGCGUUGUCCGGAAUUAUUGGGCGUAAAGCGCGCGCAGGCGGGAUAUCAAGUCUGUCUUAAAAGUGCGAGGCUCAACCUCGUGAGGGGACAGAAACUGGUAUUCUUGAGUGUCGGAGAGGAAAGUGGAAUUCCAAGUGUAGCGGUGAAAUGCGUAGAGAUUUGGAAGAACACCAGUGGCGAAGGCGACUUUCUGGACGAUGUCUGACGCUGAGGCGCGAAAGCUAGGGGAGCGAAUGGGAUUAGAUACCCUUGUAGUCC